rnacentral:rRNA from 1 species
UUGAACGCUGGCGGCAGGCCUCACACAUGCACGUCGAGCGGAUGAAGGGAGCUUGCUCCUGGAUUCAGCGGCGGACGGGUGAGUAAUGCCUAGGAAUCUGCCUGGUAGUGGGGGAUAACGUCCGGAAACGGGCGCUAAUACCGCAUACGUCCUGAGGGAGAAAGUGGGGGAUUUCGGAACUCCCGGCAUUCGAUGAGGCUAGGUCGGAUUAGCUAGUUGGUGGGGUAAAGGCCUACCAAGGCGACGAUCCGUAACUGGUCUGAGAGGAUGAUCAGUCACACUGGAACUGAGACACGGUCCAGACUCCUACGGGAGGCAGCAGUGGGGAAUAUUGGACAAUGGGCGAAAGCCUGAUCCAGCCAUGCCGCGUGUGUGAAGAAGGUCUUCGGAUUGUAAAGCACUUUAAGUUGGGAGGAAGGGCAGUAAGUUAAUACCUUGCUGUUUUGACGUUACCAACAGAAUAAGCACCGGCUAACUUCGUG